GGGCGAGCCUGAUCAGCCAUGCCGCGUGUGUGAAGAAGGCCUUCGGAUUGUAAAGCACUUUAAGUUGGGAGGAAGGGCAUUAACCUAAUACCUUGCUGUUUUGACGUUACCGACAGAAUAAGCACCGGCUAACUCUGUGCCAGCAGCCGCGGUAAU
rnacentral:rRNA from 1 species